rnacentral:rRNA from 1 species
UACGUAGGUGGCAAGCGUUGUCCGGAAUUAUUGGGCGUAAAGCGCGCGCAGGUGGGAUCUUAAGUCUGUUCUGAAAGUUCGGAGCUUAACUCCGUGAUGGGAUGGAAACUGGGAUUCUUGAGUACCGGAGAGGAAAGCGGAAUUCCCCGUGUAGCGGUGAAAUGCGUAGAUAUGGGGAGGAACACCAGUGGCGAAGGCGGCUUUCUGGACGGUGUCUGACACUGAGGCGCGAAAGCUAGGGGAGCGAACGGG